AGAAUGACCUCGGCAACGGAUAUCUAGGCUCUUGCAUCGAUGAAGAACGUAGCGAAAUGCGAUACUUGGUGUGAAUUGCAGAAUCCCGUGAACCAUCGAGUCUUUGAACGCAAGUUGCGCCCGAAGCCAUCAGGUGAGGGCACGUCUGCCUGGGCGUCACAUAUCGUUGCCCCAUGCC
rnacentral:rRNA from 1 species